UACGGAGGGGGCAAGCGUUGUUCGGAUUUACUGGGCGUAAAGGGCGCGUAGGCGGGCGAUCAAGUCAGGGGUGAAAGGCCUGGGCUCAACCUAGGAACUGCCUUUGAAACUGAACGUCUUGAGUCCGGGAGAGGAUAGCGGAAUUCCCAGUGUAGAGGUGAAAUUCGUAGAUAUUGGGAAGAACACCGGUGGCGAAGGCGGCUAUCUGGACCGGCACUGACGCUGAGGCGCGAAAGCGUGGGGAGCAAACAGG
rnacentral:rRNA from 1 species